rnacentral:rRNA from 1 species
GCGUAGGCCGGAGAUUAAGCGUGUUGUGAAAUGUAGACGCUCAACGUCUGCACUGCAGCGCGAACUGGUUUCCUUGAGUACGCACAAAGUGGGCGGAAUUCGUGGUGUAGCGGUGAAAUGCUUAGAUAUCACGAAGAACUCCGAUUGCGAAGGCAGCUCACUGGAGCGCAACUGACGCUGAAGCUCGAAAGUGCGGGUAUCGAACAGGAUUAGAUACCCUGGUAGUCCGCACGGUAAACGAUGGAUGCCCGCUGUUGGUCUGAAUAGGUCAGCGGCCAAGCGAAAGCAUUAAGCAUCCCACCUGGGGAGUACGCCGGCAACGGUGAAACUCAAAGGAAUUGACGGGGGCCCGCACAAGCGGAGGAACAUGUGGUUUAAUUCGAUGAUACGCGAGGAACCUUACCCGGGCUUGAAUUGCAGAGGAAGGAUUUGGAGACAAUGACGCCCUUCGGGGUCUCUGUGAAGGUGCUGCAUGGUUGUCGUCAGCUCGUGCCGUGAGGUGUCGGCUUAAGUGCCAUAACGAGCGCAACCCCUCUCCUUAGUUGCCAUCAGGUCAAGCUGGGCACUCUGGGGACACUGCCACCGUAAGGUGUGAGGAAGGUGGGGAUGACGUCAAAUCAGCACGGCCCUUACGUCCGGGGCUACACACGUGUUACAAUGGCAGGUACAGAGAGAUGGUCCCUUGCAAAAUGGAUCAAAUCCUUAAAGCCUGUCUCAGUUCGGACUGGGGUCUGCAACCCGACCCCACGAAGCUGGAUUCGCUAGUAAUCGCGCAUCAGCCAUGGCGCGGUGAAUACGUUCCCGGGCCUUGUACACACCGCCCGUCAAGCCAUGAAAGCCGGGGGCGCCUAAAGUCCGUGACCGUAAGGAGCGGCCUAGGGCGAAACUGGUAAUUGGGGCUAAGUCG